AAGUUUGCCCCCAAAAAAAAUAGAAAAUAACAACUGAAUCGAAAAUUGCUUAGAUCUAAAAAUUUUACUUAUCAGUGAAUCAGUCUCACGCUUUUGAAUCUCAAACCCUCAAACUUCAACGAAAAUCAUCAAUCUCACACUUCUAUCCCUUUCGAAAAUCCCAAUCUUUCGAAGAACCCACAAAUUCUGUGGAAAUCUCAGAACCCAUUUUUCCUUCUUUGAUUCUUCCUUGGAAGAAUAUCUGCCCCCCUUCGAAAAAAUUUAUGAAGCCUUCGAGAAAUCCUUACUCUUUCGAAAUUUCAGAGCUCACAUCUUGUUCAAUCAAUAUCUAAACGCAAAGACACGGUUUGUUGCGAUUGAGGAAGGUACAUGAAGAUAUAUUGUUUUGCUGUGAUUUUUAGGAGAUUCUAGAGGCUCAUGCUGGAGAAAUAGUUGCUGUACAUGUUGCUUUCUACAAAGCAUCAGGAACAGGUUAAUCAUCAAUUUUGUAGCCUUCAAUGAGACUCGGCAAGUUGAUACAUCUAAAGCAAAAAAUAAUUAAGAAGAAUAAUGAUGAUAUGGACGAAGAAUUUCAAGAUUUGAAAGUACAAGAUGAAGAGAUAUAAAUUUGAUGUUUUUUUUUUUUCCUGAUAUUAAUGGUCACUUUAAAGAUGUUAUAUUGAAUGUGAUCAAUAAUAAUUGUCAAUAUCUUUUUUCUUUUGGUAGUGUAAUUGUCAAUAUCUCUAAGGGUAUUCAUUAGAAAUCCAAAAAAUUUAUUAUGUAUGUAAUUUUGAAGAUGUUACUUUCGGUGUGAUCAAUAACGAUUGAUAACUAUUUCCUUUUCUGCAAUAUUUUAAUUAAA